rnacentral:lncRNA from 10 species
CAGGGCAGGCCAAACUGUUUUCACAGCAUGGAAAGUUAUGUGAGGGAAGCCACACCGGCCGCAGAUACAGGCACCAGCACAUCCACUCGCAUGCACACUCACGGCUGUGGCCCGCGGCAGAUGGAGGCCCGCUCUGCCUUGUCUGUCCCUCAGUAGUGUGCGAUGACAGCACACCUGUGGGGGCCCUGCAGCUGGGAAGACUGCAGCGAGGCUCAACUCAGAGGCCCCUGCUCAGGAGCAUGGCUGAGUCACACCCCAGGGAGAAGGUGCCCCGGACAGGUGUGGCCAGCACGUCUUGCCAAGACCCCACCACCCCACCCACCCGCAUCUGUGGCCUUCUGGAACCGAGCUGUGGCCUGGGGUUCCAUGGAGCAGGUGGGGCGCGGAGGAACUGAGCUGUGGCCUGGGGUUCCGUGGAGCAGGUUGAGUAUGGAGGAACUGGGGUUCCGUGGAGCAGGUGGGGCGCAGAGGAACCGAGCUGUGGAAUGGGGUUCCGUGGAGCAGAAGUCCAACACCUCCGAGAGGACUCAAAACACAGAGUGACCAGCUCCUAUGUGC